rnacentral:rRNA from 1 species
GAUGAACGCUGGCGGCGUGCCUAAUACAUGCAAGUCGAACGCAUUGUGGUUGAAAUGAUAUGAAGAACUUGUUCAGAUUUGAUUUUCAACAUUGCAAUGAGUGGCGAACGGGUGAGUAACACGUGGGAAACCUACCUCUUAGCAGGGGAUAACAUUUGGAAACAAAUGCUAAUACCGUAUAAUAAUUAAAACCGCAUGGUUUUAGUUUAAAAGAUGGUCUUGCUAUCACUAAGAGAUGGUCCCGCGGUGUAUUAGUUAGUUGGUGAGGUAAUGGCUCACCAAGACAAUGAUACAUAGCCGAGUUGAGAGACUGACCGGCCACAAUGGGACUGAGACACGGCCCAUACUCCUACGGGAGGCAGCAGUAGGGAAUCUUCCACAAUGGACGAAAGUACUGAUGGAGCAACGCCGCGUCGUGUGAUGAAGGUUUCGGCUCGUAAAACACUGUUGUAAGAGAAGAAUGACAUUGAGAGUAACU